UAAAAAUGCUCAAAGAAAACACAUUUUUGUUUUAAGUCCUCAGCAAAUAAAUUCUUUACUUUUUUGAUAAAGAUUUUGAACUUGACUUGCAAAAAGGAUGAACUGAAAUUUCAACCAAUAUAGAGUAAGCAUUAACCAUGAGCAAAGUUCUGGUAGAAAUGAAAUAAUGAUGGAAUUAAAUGAUCUUUCCCGUUCCUAGGGGCCUAUAACUUCCUCAUAUAUAAAGUGAGAGUCGUGGGAGCAAAGUACAAUUAGAAAACAUUUUUUUGGAGUACUAAAAUAUAUUCUACCAGAAGAA